AGAAAAGUUAUCUAAGAAAAAGAACUGAAUUUUUCUCCGGCUAAAACGGAAUUUUUGUUUGACAAUGUGAAACAAAAGUAUUGUCAAUAUUUUCAGAAAAGUCAAAGUAUGACUAUGUUAUUACUGACUGAAUGGUGAAGGACAACAUCAAACCCACUAGAAUUAACUCUAGACACUAGAAGGAGCAAACUAAAAAUACUAAAGGCAUUCAGUCUGACCACACAGCCCAAUUUCUUACAGAGGCACAGGCCAAACAUUUUGUAGAGGAUGGAUUAAUUAAAUGCACUCCAAUAUAUGACU